UUUUUGGCGUUAGGGUUAAAAUCACUGUCCAAAACCUUUUUAGGAACAUGUUUCAGACCUUUUGGAGUUGGUAACACCAAAAAUAAAUGUAAAAUGAAAAAAAAAUAUUUGGGGUGUUCGGGUUCCCUGAAGGUAAUACCCGGGUAUUAGGUUUUGGGGCUAGGGUAAGGUUUAAGGUUUUUGACGUUAGGGUUAAAAUCACUGUCCAAAACCUUUUAAGGAACAAGAUUCAGACCUUUUGGAGUUGGUUGCACCAAAAAAAAUGUAAAAUGAAAAAAAAAAUAGUUGGGGUGUUCGGGCUUCCUGAAGGUAAUACCCUUCAGGUUUAAGUAUUAGGUUAUGGGGCUAGGAUUAGGUUUAAGGUUUUUGGCGUAAGGGUUAAAAUCACUGUCCAAUAUUUUUAAGGAACAUGUUUCAGACCUUUUGGACAUAGUUUAACCAAAAAAAAAAAAGAAAUAGAAAAAAUAUAUAUUUGGGGUGUUCGGGCUUCCUGAAGGUAAUACCCGGGUAUUAGGUUAUGGGGCUAGGGUAAGGUUUAAGGUUUUUGGCGUGAGGGUUAAAAUCACUGUCCAAAACCUUUGUAGGAACUCUUU